rnacentral:rRNA from 1 species
AUGCAGUACUGGUCCAUCGAGGGGGCAUAGGAGGUGCUUGGCGACAAGGUGUGCGUCGACCGCCUCGACAGCCGCACGCUGGAGUGCGGCCACACCAAGACCUUUGCGUGCUGGGUCUGGGUGUGGGACAUGGCGUUCAUCCCGACCAGGCACACCUACUGGAAGCUUCCCCGCGGCGCGGGGCGAGUCAAGGAGAUGGACGGCUUCUCACCGUCGGAUCGCCGGGUGGCUCCUCCCCCGGGCGCGACGCGGUACGAUAUUCUCAUCCACAUCGACCGCAUUGAAGACUGGUCACCAAGGUCGCCGCGUUCCUCACACUCGGCGCAGAGCGACUUGCCAUCCUCCGGCUCCGACGACGACCAUGCGCUGCCGCGCACCUAUCCGGGGACCUGGACCAUGCACGUCGAGGAUGGACAGCGCGACGAGCGUCACAAGCGGCAGGCCCGUGCCCCGGUGGCGGACACGGGCUGGCGUGGCAUGCCCCUCGGCGGCCCCAGGCACAACCACGACAACGACGGAGCGGGAAGGAGAACCUAG